rnacentral:rRNA from 1 species
CCUACGGGAGGCAGCAGUGGGGAAUAUUGCACAAUGGGGGAAACCCUGAUGCAGCGACGCCGCGUGAGCGAUGAAGUAUUUCGGUAUGUAAAGCUCUAUCAGCAGGGAAGAAGACGACGGUACCCGACUAAGAAGCACCGGCUAACUACGUGCCAGCAGCCGCGGUAAUACGUAGGGGGCAAGCGUUAUCCGGAUUUAUGGGGUGUAAGGGGAGCGUAGACGGCGAUGCAAGUGAGAUGUGAAAGCCCGGGGCUCAACCCCGGAACUGCAUUUGGAACUGUGUGGCUGGAGUGUCGGUGAGGCAGGCGGAAUUCCUGGUGUAGCGGUGAAAUGCGUAGAUAUUA